UGGUGCGACCAUACCAACACUAACGCACCGGAUCCCAUCAAAACUGCGAAGUUAAGCGUGCUUGGACGAGAGUAGUACUAGGAUGGGUGACCCCCAGAGAAGCCCUCGUGUUGCACCCC
rnacentral:rRNA from 1 species